rnacentral:rRNA from 1 species
UGCAAGUCGAGCGGUAGAGAGAAGCUUGCUUCUCUUGAGAGCGGCGGACGGGUGAGUAAUGCCUAGGAAUCUGCCUGGUAGUGGGGGAUAACGUUCGGAAACGGACGCUAAUACCGCAUACGUCCUACGGGAGAAAGCAGGGGACCUUCGGGCCUUGCGCUAUCAGAUGAGCCUAGGUCGGAUUAGCUAGUUGGUGGGGUAAUGGCUCACCAAGGCGACGAUCCGUAACUGGUCUGAGAGGAUGAUCAGUCACACUGGAACUGAGACACGGUCCAGACUCCUACGGGAGGCAGCAGUGGGGAAUAUUGGACAAUGGGCGAAAGCCUGAUCCAGCCAUGCCGCGUGUGUGAAGAAGGUCUUCGGAUUGUAAAGCACUUUAAGUUGGGAGGAAGGGCCAUUACCUAAUACGUGAUGGUUUUGACGUUACCGACAGAAUAAGCACCGGCUAACUCUGUGCCAGCAGCCGCGGUAAUACAGAGGGUGCAAGCGUUAAUCGGAAUUACUGGGCGUAAAGCGCGCGUAGGUGGUUUGUUAAGUUGGAUGUGAAAUCCCCGGGCUCAACCUGGGAACUGCAUUCAAAACUGACUGACUAGAGUAUGGUAGAGGGUGGGUGGAAUUUCCUGUGUAGCGGUGAAAUGCGUAGAUAUAGGAAGGAACACCAGUGGCGAAGGCGACCACCUGGACUGAUACUGACACUGAGGUGCGAAAGCGUGGGGAGCAAACAGGAUUAGAUACCCUGGUAGUCCACGCCGUACACGAUGUCAACUAGCCGUUGGGAGCCUUGAGCUCUUAGUGGCGCAGCUAACGCAUUAAGUUGACCGCCUGGGGAGUACGGCCGCAAGGUUAAGACUCAAAUGAAUUGACGGGGGCCCGCACAAGCGGUGGAGCAUGUGGUUUAAUUCUAAGCAACGCGAAGAACCUUACCAGGUCUUGACAUCCAAUGAACUUUCUAGAGAUAGAUUGAUGCCUUCGGGAACAUUGAGACAGGUGCUGCAUGGCUGUCGUCAGCUCCUGUCCCUC